UUUUGUUGGAUCUACAAUAGUUUUGUCAAAUAUCAGGGUCUAAUUAGGAAGCACAGGUAGCGGAUUCUAAUAACUAGUGUUUUUCAACCCAGAAAGGCUCCGACUGCCUCUUUCAAGCUCGGAUACGACACGAGAACAAAUAAAAGGAAAAAAGAGUGAGAGAAGAAUCCAGAAACAGAUUGCUCAAUGGUCAGCCUUGACUUCAUUUCUUCUCUAUUUUUUUUUUAACUUUUAUUUCCACAAUCAUUUCAUUUAUUAUUACCUGAAUAGUGAAAUGGGAAAAAUAUCAUAGGUUAUGUUUAUCUAUUGUUCUGGUUUCUUAGGUCAAUUGGGCAAUGGGGUUUCGUUCUUUUUCCGAAAUUUGUGAAACUGUUGAAAAAGUUUCUGCAUUUUGGAGUAAUGUAAAUAGUCAGCGAAAGGGUAUUUGUAAUUCUGCAAAAGUUGGAAUCCUUUAUUGGGGAUGCUUGGAAACAAGAUUUCUGGAGCAGAAGGAGGCUAUUAGGGCAACUGGGUUCGCUGAUUCAAUUGUGCGAGGAAAUUUUUUUGGAGAUUUAAGGGAAAUUCUGUACAGUUAAGACCAUUCUUUGGAAGCAGUGAGGGUAAUGGGGGUCAGUUGGAUAGAGAUUUUCUUGCACAGUUAAUGGAUUGCUGAUAGGAAAUUUGAGAAGUCUAGAUAAAAAAGAAGAAGAAAAGUUGUUAAGAGUAAGAAUUAUGGUAAAAAGGUUCAUGAAGCUGGGCCGCAAGGAAGAUGGUAUUCAGGUUCUGCGUCCCAGAAGCAAAUUCUUAUGAGCAGGGUAAACCAGUUCUGCAUCAACCUGCUGUCAGUCAGUCUAUCACUGGCUUUUUCAAACCUGUGUGCUCAGAGGAGGUGCCUUUGUUGGUAGUUUGAUAGGUUCUAAUUCACCUGAGUUGCCAGACCAAUGCUAAUGUGAUAUGAACCUGCUGUUGCUGCCGAAGAUUGCUGCUGGAUGUUCCUGCUAUUUCUUGCUCAAGUGCUAGUGUUGCUGUGUUUAUGCUCAAGAACAAAAAUAAUAGAAGGACUAGGAUAAAAUGUAUUCUGUACUCAUUGAAAUUGUAAAUACUCAAUGCAGCAGUGUAAUGGAAAGUUUCUUAUAUUAGUAGAUGAAGUUCAGAAUUACAGUAA